rnacentral:rRNA from 1 species
CCUACGGGAGGCAGCAGUGAGGAAUAUUGGUCAAUGGGCGCGAGCCUGAACCAGCCAAGUAGCGUGAAGGAUGACUGCCCUACGGGUUGUAAACUUCUUUUAUAAAGGAAUAAAGUGAGGCCCGUGUGCCUUUUUGUAUGUGCUUUAUGAAUAAGGAUCGGCUAACUCCGUGCCAGCAGCCGCGGUAAUACGGAGGAUCCGAGCGUUAUCCGGAUUUAUUGGGGUUAAAGGGAGCGUCUAUGGGUUGUUAAGUCAGUUGUGAAAGUUUGCGGCUAAACCGUAAAAUUGCAAUUGAUACUGGCAGCCGUGAGUACAGUUGAGGUAGGCGGAAUUCGUGGUGUAGCGGUGAAAUGCUUAGAUAUCACGAAGAACUCCGAUUGCGAAGGCAGCCUACUAAACUGCAACUGACAUUGAUGCUCGAAAGUGUGGGUAUCAAACAGGAUUAGAUACCCUUGUAGUC